CUGCAGCAGGUUCGGGUCGAACGCAGUGAGACAACGGAGCCGCUUGCGGCGACGGCCCGAAGGGCGAGGCGAAGCCGGGUCAUCCUGCACGACCCACCA
rnacentral:sRNA from 1 species